UACGGAGGGGGCAAGCGUUGUUCGGAGUUACUGGGCGUAAAGGGCGCGUAGGCGGUGCGACAAGUCAGGCGUGAAGCCCCGGGCUUAACCUGGGAAUUGCGCUUGAUACUGUCGCGUGAGAUCGGGAGGAGGAUGGCGGAAUUCCCAGUGUAGAGGUGAAAUUCGUAGAUAUUGGGAAGAACACCUGUGGCGAAAGCGGCGCACUGGACCACUACUGACGUGAUGCGCGGAAAGCGUGGGGGAGCAAACAGG
rnacentral:rRNA from 1 species